CCUACGGGUGGCAGCAGUGGGGGAUAUUGCACAAUGGGGGCAACCCUGAUGCAGCGACGCCGCGUGAGUGAAGAAGUCUUUCGGUUUGUAACGCUCUAUCAGCAGGGAAGAAAAUGACAGUAUCUGACCAAGAAGCCCCGGCUAACUACGUGCCAGCAGCCGCGGUAAUACGUGGGGGGCAAGCGUUAUCCGGAUUUACUGGGUGUAAAGGGAGCGUAGACGGGUAUGUAAGUCUGGAGUGAAAGCCCGGGGCCCAACCCCGGGACUGCUUUUGAAACUGUGUGGCUGGAGUACAGGAGGGGCAGGCGGAAUUCCUAGUGUAGCGGUGAAAUGCGUAGAUAUUAGGAGGAACACCAGCGGCGAAGGCGGCCUGCUGGACUGAAACUGACGUUGAGGCGCGAAAGCGUGGGGAGCAAACAGGAUUAGAUACCCUAGUAGUC
rnacentral:rRNA from 1 species